GAAAAAAGCAACUUGUCUGUGACUCUUGUCAGAAGCAAGCUGAGCAGGUGUAAGGCCAGUGUUAUCUGUCACGAUAAGGUCUUCCUUCUUCCCUGCCUGCACCAACACCGUACAUGCUUCUAGGUGACCCCUAAUAGCAGCCCAGUGAAGAGGAGUACAACCCUCUUUAUCCUGACGUCCACGAUAUGCAUCAAGAAAGAGUAGAAGGCGUAUACAGUCAGCAAAACCCUUGUAUGCAGCCCAGUGUAAAGGGCUUCUCCCGUCACUGUCAGGUACAUCAGGAUCAGCAUUCCACUUUGUAACAACAUAGUAAAGGAAAGCUGUCUGACCAUACUGUGCGGCAACAUGUGUUGGCUGAUAGCCAUACAUAUCAGCUGCAUUUACACGACCACCUUCUUGUAGUAAGAGCUCAGCAACCUGCACUGCACCUCGAACAGCACUCCAGUG
rnacentral:misc_RNA from 1 species